UUUUAAAAUCGGACCGGACCGGUCGGUUCAACCGGUUGAACCGCGAACCGGUCGGCCGGCCGGUUACGGUUCAGACCAAAACCGGUAAAUCAUAAAACCGGCAUCCACCCGCCCGAACCGGGGGUUCAACCGCCGAACCGGUCCCGGUUUCUGCUAACCGGCCGGUUCAGCAAACGCGCCAUUUUGGCGAAAAUGAUAAAUCUGACGGCUGAGAUGCGAUGAUGAUGCUUCUUUAUGCGAAAAAAAACCCUAAUUCAUUUCUGUCGCGUCGCGUGCUUCGUUUCCUCUGUUCGCUUUUCCUUCUUUCUCUCGUGUGAUUCGAACGAACGAAGAGUCGAAGACGGAGCCGGGAGAGAAUAAAGACCUCUUCUUUUGUGCGCACGUCAUUUGCAGGUGAGUUUUUUUUUUAAUCAGUUUCAUUCGCGAUUUGCAGCAAACGAAGGUUCGAGAGCUGAGAUUUUUUCUUCUUCUCUUAUGUUUUCCUAGUUAGCAAGAAGACCUAAUAGCUACAGGUUUUCUUUCUUCUCUAAUUAAAUGGUUACAACUUGCUUUAAGUCAUAAGUUGAUUAGUUACAGGCUAAAGAGGUAACCAAGGUUUUCUACAGAUUUUUUUAAUCGGUUUCAUUCGCCAUUUGCUUUGCUGUUUGCUUUCCUUUGUUAUUACUGAAUGUUGCGGUUUGCUGUUUGCUUUCCAAAAAUUGAAUCAGUUUGCUGCAGUUUCCUGUUUGGUUUACUUUAUUCUUUUUGCAUUUGUAUAUUAAUAUGUUUAUGAAUCAAACCAGGCAUCUAAUUCCAAGGUAAAAUUUGCAUUUUUUACAAUCUUAGUUUAAUUAUAGCUGAACAAGAUAGCAAUAUGUGCAUAGUUCCUCUUAAAUCUGAAUGUUUAUCUUGAUUAGGUGCAACAAGGUUAGGUUUAGAGUGAAUGUAAUAGAAGAAAACUUCUCAUUUAUUUUUAAAUUUUUAAUAAUAUUAUUAUUUAUUAUGUUAACCGGUUCGACCGGUUCGACCCCGGUUCGACCGGUCGACCCGUGAA